rnacentral:rRNA from 1 species
UACAGAGGGUGCAAGCGUUGCUCGGAAUCAUUGGGCGUAAAGGGCAAGUAGGUGGUCUCAUUUGUCUGAUGUGAAAGCCUUGAGCUUAACUCAAGAAGUGCGUCAGAAACGGUGAGACUCGAGUUCUGGAGAGGGUCGUGGAAUUCCCGGUGUAGCGGUGAAAUGCGUAGAGAGUCGGGAGGAACACCAGAGGCGAAGGCGGCGACCUGGACAGAUACUGACACUCAACUGACGAAAGGCGUGGGGAGCAAACAGG